AGAGGGGCAAGUGCACGUGUGGAAGAAAGGGCCCAUCCCCGAGCCGGAAGCUGGCGUUUGUUAGGAGCCAGUUCUUCUUUGCGAACGAGCAGCUUUUUGGUUAGGAGAAGGUGGCAUUGCAGCAAUAGGGGCGCAAGUGGGACCGGAGCCCAUCUGCGGGAGACCAGUGGCACCUCCGGGCCUCGCGGGUAAAGGAUAAGGCCUGCUUUAAGUGGGCUGCCAUUAAUCCAAAGGAUGCACAAGGGUCCUACAAACCGUGAGCUCAGGGUUUCAAAAUCAGUCUGCCAUAGCAAUGAGAAGAACUUGGGAGUAGCGGCUGUAGCAACAGCAGCAAUAAACAUUGGUCUGAAACGGGAGAUGCCCCACGUGCGUGGCAGCUGUGCCACGUCUAGAAUAUGUGUGUGUUGGGCAAGAGGGCACUCCCACUAAUCUGGAAUGUGCAAGGCCUGCAGACCAGCCAUUUUCAGGGGCACCUAGGAAUGCAUAUUUUCUUGCCAAAGGCAUUUACAAGCGUAUUUGAGAAACACUCAUUUGGAGCGGGAGAUUGGAGCCAAACGCUAGAAAGGGAAAUGUUUUAAUAUACAAAUUACUGUAUAAGCCUCACAUGGCGGAGACAUAAAAAUCCUUAGUGCAGUGUGGGACCUUUUAAGUAAAGUGUGCAACACACAUUUUACAUUACAUAGGUAUUUCUUUGCAACAUACCUGCACUCCUUUUAGCUGGAUUUCGAUUCAGAAUUAUAAAAGGAAAAUCACCAGCUCUAUCCUCUCCCCACAGUAUUUAUUUGUGCUACACAUAAUGCCCAUGAAAGUAGAAUGCAUCACUACGCUGACAGGUAAUUGCAGCAAAAUGAGAUUAUAGAAUAAACAAAGUUUGCUUUUGCAUUGGUAUGUAUAGUAAAGGUAAAGGUACCCCUGCCCGUACGGGCCAGUCUUGAGACUCUAGGGUUGUGCGCUCAACUCACUCUAUAGGCCGGGAGCCAGCGCUGUCCGCAGACACUUCCGGGUCACGUGGCCAGCGUGACAAGCUGCAUGUGGCGAGCCAGCGCAGCACACGGAACGCCGUUUACCUUCCCGCUGGUAAGCGGUCCCUAUUUAUCUACUUGCACCCGGGGGUGCUUUCGAACUGAUAGGUUGGCAGGCGCUGGGACCAAACGAUGGGAGCGCACCCCGCCGUGGGGAUUCGAACUGCCGACCAUGCGAUCGGCAAGUCCUAGGCGCUGAGGUUUUACCCACAGCGCCACCCACGUCCCUAUUGGUAUGUAUACACAUGAAUAAUUAGCACUGUUUCCCAUAUUUGCUAUGUGUAGGUUUCCUUUUUUUCUCACCAGCUGUUGAAACCAACUUUUUGCUCACCCUGGAGGAACUGGCACAGCCCAACUUUAAUGUAGAAGUUGAAGCAAAAAUAGGAAUAGAAUGCAGCUCCGUCUUGUGUACUUGGGAAGAAUUGCCUUGUUUUUUGCUUGCCUGGAGUGGUUAUUGCUGAGUUGGGUCAUGGCAUGAGAGUUAAGCCUCUCCCAGCUGAUCAUCUAUAGCCAUAUCUUUGUUAAGAGUGAUGAAAAUGCACGCCAACCAUAAUCAGAGUAUUUAUUUAUUUUUAGCACAGAACUUAUUUAAAACCAACAAUUGGUUCCUUAAACUGUAAAAUCCAUUACAUCUUAAUUACAGAGUAUCUAAUUUCUGCAACCCAUAUUUAAACAUUAUUUUACUAGAUACAUUUUGGAAAAAAAUAUAUAUCCAUAUGUAUAUAGACACACUCAAGUCAUUCACAUGUGCUGACGAAAGUCUCUUCUCUAUGCAACAGAAUGAAAAUGUAGACAUGCCUCUCUCUUUCCCCACAAAGAAGGAAAAGCGGAAUGAGAAGUGGGGGGAGACACCCUCCUUUAUCACUCACUGCAUGUUUCCCCCAUAGCCAAGAGUUGCUUCGGACAGCAUCCACCAAAAACAGUACUUGGCUUCGGAGGCAGCUUCUGGUUCUUCUACGUCUUUAACCAAGCCUACCUCACCCUUUUAUUUCAACCCAUUCUUAUGCCCAGUAGAUUUCUGCUUGAUAUGGCCUAUAGAAAUGCUGAAGUUAGGAUGAGAUCCUGGAGAACCUGGAGAUGUUGCAAGGUACUAGAUAGAAAUUGAGUGACUGAAGGUUCCUACACCUUUGAAAGAGAAAAGGAGCACAAUUCCACUGAAUCUUAACAAUUUGUACUAUUUAUAUGGGCAAUUCAAUAGCAGGCAAUUGUCUCACUUCCUUGUUGCUAAAUGAGUUGGCUCCCAAGACUGCAGUUAUAACCUAAAUAUCUCAGGUAAAUCCUUUUUAUGUUAAGAAUGGACCACUUACCUUGCAUUCCUUUUCUUAACUUAGCUAAGCACUGCCUCGCUUUAUUUUUGCUAAAGGACAUAUUUCCUUUUUUGUAUAAUAUUUAUUAAUUUUCCAACAAUUUAAACACAACACUACAAAAGAAAAAGCAUAAGCUAAAGGACAUAUUUUCAGCUUACUUCACCUGCCUUUAAGGCUAACCUGUGGUGCUCCAGAAGUUGCUGGGACUCCCAACUCCCACACAAGCACAAAAAGAAAAAGUCUAGGCUAAGGACUGAUAGGAGUUAUAGUCCAAUGAUAUCUGGAUGGCCAGUAGUUUGUCUAGUGGAUAAAAAGCUUACCUUCAUUCUGUGGGACGCUGCUCUGACAGACUAGAAUAGUAACUUUGAAACUUGAGGCUUGCCUCCAAGUCUAAUCACCCGUCAGUGAACUCAGGUUGAAAUAUCACAUAGAUCAAGGUAGAUACUAUAGAGCUUGUGUUUACAUGGUUCAAACUCCAUCACUUUGAAGAUGUAGUCAGGCAAACAAGGUGUGUAUAACUUGUAAAGCCCAGAGAAAAUGCAUCUUCAUACAGUGCAGGUUAAUGGGAAAUGCACUUAAUGGUCUUAGUUGGUCUGGGUGCCUAUAUGCACAGAUGGUAGAUAUUUAGAUUUAUCCUUUUUGCACACAAGCAGCAAUCAAAGGUCUAUACUGCGUCUGAUCUGUGCAUGUAACCCUCUCUCCCUGCUACCCCCUCUACAUAGAGAAACUGACUGAUGGAUCAAUUAUUUCUGUUAACUGUAAUAAGUUAUCUUUAUGGUAAGUAUUCUAAAUAGUAUUUGGGCCUUGUUAGAAAGCAACCCUCACCCCAGAUUUCGUUAUGAAAGAAACACAUAUAUGGGGUGGCCAAAGUACUAUUUCUUUAAUGGGAAAAGUGCGUCCUGCACUGGAGUGGAAGAGCACACAGCCUCCAAGAACUCCUUGGGAAGAAGAGCAAUUGAACAGAAUGAAAAAUGGUUGUGAAAUGACAUGGCAAUACUGUGUGUGGUGGGGAGAUGAUGGGAGGUGGAUCCCUGCUCAUGUUUGGCCCUUUCAUUAUAUUUUAUCUUUUUAUUAAUUGUUCAUAUUUUAACAGAAUUACAAUUAUAUAUGAUCAAAUAAACUAUACAUUCAACAGCAUUAAAAUAGACAAUAUUCACAUCAGUAGUAAUAUAUUAAUACAACAAUAUACUCAGAAUCAGUAUGUUGACAU